rnacentral:rRNA from 1 species
GAUGAACGCUGGCGGCGUGCCUAAUACAUGCAAGUCGAGCGAACGGACGAGAAGCUUGCUUCUCUGAUGUAGCGGCGGACGGGUGGGUAACACGUGGAUAACCUACCUAUAAUCCUGGGAUAACUUCGGGAAACCGGAGCUAAUACCGGAUCAUAUUUUGAACCGCAUGGUUCAAAAGUAAAAGACGGUCUUGCUGUCACUUAUAGAUGGAUCCGCGCUGCAUUAGCUAGUUGGUAAGGUAACGGCUUACCAAGGCGAAGAUGCAUAGCCGACCUGAGAGGGUGAUCGGCCACACUGGAACUGAGACACGGUCCAGACUCCUACGGGAGGCAGCAGUAGGGAAUCUUCCGCAAUGGGCGAAAGCCUGACGGAGCAACGCCGCGUGAGUGAUGAAGGUCUUCGGAUCGUAAAACUCUGUUAUUAGGGAAGAACAUAUGUGUAAGUAACUGUGCACAUCUUGACGGUACCUAAUCAGAAAGCCACGGCUAACUACGUG